GGCGCUGUCCCGUAGCGGUUAUCGGGUACCCUUGCUAUUACGUAAGCAGUUUGCAAGCAGGGUAUGGGCACUUGCCUUCGCGAGUUCGAAUCUCGUCGGCGUCG